UGAGUAGUCAUGUGUACCUGCUUUCAAGCUUGUUCCCUGCGUGCCAUGUCUGUGACGGAGGCGGAAUACGGCGGGCACUGGUGUGGAGCAUAAUAAUGCUGAGUUCUGCCCGAAGAGCACUGAGGGACCCAUGAACCAACCGAGGGGCAAAUCAGCCACAGCGGGAAAAGCAAGAGGACACUUCCGAACCUAUUACAUUUACUUACUGGGGCAAAAAUCCUUAGCUUGUCCGUGGCAGCAGAAUCCAGGCAUUCGGCCUCUCAGCACAGGGUUCCAGGUUUGGAGGCGUGGGGCCUGUUUGUUUUGGAGAGAUCUGUCCACCAGGUGGUAG
rnacentral:lncRNA from 1 species